UACGAAGGGGGCUAGCGUUGUUCGGAAUUACUGGGCGUAAAGGGCGCGUAGGCGGUGUGUCAAGUCAGGCGUGAAAGCCCCGGGCUCAACCUGGGAACCGCGCUUGAGACUGGCACGCUAGAGUUCGGGAGAGGAUGGUGGAAUUCCCAGUGUAGAGGUGAAAUUCGUAGAUAUUGGGAAGAACACCGAUGGCGAAGGCAGCCAUCUGGACCGACACUGACGCUGAGGCGCGAAAGCGUGGGAGCAAACAGG
rnacentral:rRNA from 1 species